ensembl:lncRNA
GUUCCCAUUAUUUAUUUCACAUUGUCUGACCAGCAGUUGAUAUGUCAAAAGAAAAAAAUAAAAUAAACAUUGUCAGAACACCAACUGUAAAAACGCAACGUAGAAACACAAUAACCUACUGUGCUUUAAAACGAAAUGUCAUGACAGAUUUAGUCACUAUAGCAUUUUACAUGAAUUUCACCCACUGGGAUAACAUUUGAUUCGAGAACUGAAUUGGCACAGCGUGCUACUCCACCACGUUUUCUAUCGGGAAGCAUUGUCCCCAGUAAUACAAGCCAAAGUACCGUCAUACUUGAGGUUACAGCUAAUCCCAAACAAACGCCACCAAUCAUGCCUAGAUCCAAUGUGUUGGAGCCAAUCGACAGACAGGAAAUAUCUACCUUUUUUCUUCAAAAGGGAAGAACAAGUAGGCCUACACUGAAAUAUAAAAAAAAUAUGUCACCGAUGUUCUUUAACAAAUAAAAUAUAAGAAAAAUGUACGUAUUGAGUGAAAAGUGAUAAUACCCUGUUAAAACAAUUCUGAACAAAACAUAAAUAAGUUAAGGACCCUGACAAUCCCUAUAAUACAGUCUCAUACACGAUUAUACAGAAUUACAUUAUGAAAAUGUCAUGCAGAUUUUAUUUUCUAGUUGUGAAAACAAUAGCAACCAAUGUGCCUCAGACAUCUUCUGUGAAGAACUGUUUACAAAAUGUCCUCAUGAAAACGAAAUGCAAUAAAUCAGCAGCACUUGUUUUGUAAUAUGCAACAAUCUGAGUACAGUUACAAAGAACUCUUGGUUUACUUUCAAACUGAAGGAUGGGGUUGGCUUUUCCCCAUCAGAAAGUGUUUGUGUUGUGAAGGCGUGUGUGUUGGGACUGCUGACAAACACAAGCAUCCAUAACAAAGCGUUUCUAACGGCACUCAACUGAAUAAACGAGAGAGAAAGGGAGACGGAUGGUUUUGGGGCUUCGAAGCGUCUCCUACCGCAGAAAAAACGCUGAACUCCAGACCGUCUACCCCCAGCGGCAGGUUCAGAGCGAGCUCAGCCGAGGUAACCGCGGCACGUAAACAACGACUUUCUUGAUUUCUCCGAGGUGUCGCGUCUCCGGCUCGAGAGAAACUCUCAUCCAUGGGAGCGUGCCCCGGUAACCAGGGAAAGUAUAGUGCUGUGGUGGCCAGAUCUAAUGUAAUCCACUGAUAAUCUCCCAGGAUUGGUUUUAAAUAACUGCCUUGCAUAAUGAUUACGAAUCUCAUAAAUAUGAUAGAUGUUAGAUGAAUUACAGUGAACCAUGUAGAUAAUAUAGUUUGGUGUAAUCUUCUUCCAAUUAGGAACCUACACGGUAUUUAAUCCGAUAGCGAUGCAUUGGUUUCGAUGUGAAAGAGACCUAAAAUGUUUGUUUUUUAAAAUGUCCACUUCUUCUUUGUGCUGCUGAUUGGAUACCUAAGCAACAAGGUUGCUGGUUGCUUAUUAGGGUAAGCUCAUUAAUGUCAACAGGUCCAUUUUUGAGUCUGGAGUUGUACGCCCCUUUCACAUAUACCUCCCGGUAAAUUACUGGGAUAACAUAUCGGGCAUUACUAGUGUUUUACACUACAUGCUCCUAUUGGCACAGAAACGCCAGAACACGUGCCAAGGGACAGUCAGCCCGUGGCGGUAAUGCAACACUUGCCAAUGCCAGCCGCCAUCAAAUUUGCGGAGUGAGAGAAGCACCCAUAUUUCGUAACCUUUCCAGUUUCCAGAAAUUACUGAAAAAAGGGUGCUUGCUUGUAAAAAAAAGAAGAACUGUGUUGAUAUUGUUAUCGGAUCACCAGAAGGCAUUGGCUAAUUGAGAUAAGCCCUCGGCGAUCCUCAGCAGAGAAUGCGGCAUUAACUCUCCACUUAUGGAGGCCAUGAGCCGUAAAGCCUGCGGACUGAGAGGAUCUCCCUCAUUUCGGAACCUGUCUGGGGAAAAGGAUCUUGUUCUCAAACAAAAGAAGCUGCAUUGAUAUUAUGUCGGAUCACCCGAAAAGCAUCGGUGCGGUCCGAUAAACCGUCGCUGAUCUACGUCCUAGGAGGAGCCAGCCGUGCAGUCAGCGGUCCCCAAAC